AUACGUAGGGGGCGAGCGUUGUCCGGAAUGAUUGGGCGUAAAGGGCGCGUAGGCGGCCCGGUAAGUCUGGAGUGAAAGUCCUGUUUUUAAGAUGGGAAUUGCUUUGGAUACUGUCGGGCUUGAGUGCAGGAGAGGUAAGUGGAAUUCCCAGUGUAGCGGUGAAAUGCGUAGAGAUUGGGAGGAACACCAGUGGCGAAGGCGACUUACUGGACUGUAACUGACGCUGAGGCGCGAAAGUGUGGGGAGCAAACAGGAUUAGAUACCCUGGUAGUCCACACGGUAAACGAUGAAUGCUAGGUGUAAGAGGUAUCGACCCCUUUUGUGCCGGAGUCAACACAAUAAGCAUUCCGCCUGGGGAGUACGGCCGCAAGGUUGAAACUCAAAGGAAUUGGCGGGG
rnacentral:rRNA from 1 species